rnacentral:lncRNA from 14 species
GAGAAGAAGCCCUGGUCGCGGGGCGACCCACGGCAGCUUCGUUCUGCGUCGCGCCGGGGCGGGGCCUUCCGCCCGCGGUUUCCAUGGCGACGGGCGCGUGACGCGCGUGUCGCGGCCAAUCGGUGGCGAGGCGGCUGAGUGACAGCCUGCGGCACCAGUGGCCAGCGGCGCUUUCGGGAGGCCGCCGAAGCUGUCGGGCGGCCGGAUACGGAGCGGCCGCGGCGGGGCCGGGUGUGGGUUGUAUGCUG